CCGCUGACGAGCGGCGGACGGGUGAGUAAUGCUUAGGAAUCUGCCCAGUAGUGGGGGACAACAGUCGGAAACGGCUGCUAAUACCGCAUACGCCCUACGGGGGAAAGCAGGGGAUCUUCGGACCUUGCGCUAUUGGAUGAGCCUAAGUCGGAUUAGCUAGUUGGUGGGGUAAAGGCCUACCAAGGCGACGAUCCGUAGCUGGUCUGAGAGGAUGAUCAGCCACAUCGGGACUGAGACACGGCCCGAACUCCUACGGGAGGCAGCAGUGGGGAAUAUUGGACAAUGGGGGCAACCCUGAUCCAGCCAUGCCGCGUGUGUGAAGAAGGCUUUCGGGUUGUAAAGCACUUUCAGCGAGGAGGAAGGCCUUAAAGUUAAUACCUUUAAGGAUUGACGUUACUCGCAGAAGAAGCACCGGCUAACUCCGUGCCAGCAGCCGCGGUAAUACGGAGGGUGCAAGCGUUAAUCGGAAUUACUGGGCGUAAAGCGCGCGUAGGUGGUUUGGUAAGCGAGAUGUGAAAGCCCCGGGCUUAACCUGGGAACGGCAUUUCGAACUGUCAGACUAGAGUGUGGUAGAGGGUAGUGGAAUUUCCUGUGUAGCG
rnacentral:rRNA from 1 species